rnacentral:rRNA from 1 species
ACGCUCGACACCUACUGGAGGCAGCAGUGGGGAAUAUUGCACAAUGGAGGAAACUCUGAUGCAGCGAUGCCGCGUGAGGGAAGAAGGUUUUCGGAUUGUAAACCUCUGUCUUUGGGGACGAUAAUGACGGUACCCAAGGAGGAAGCUCCGGCUAACUACGUGCCAGCAGCCGCGGUAAUCUGAGGCGGCGUGGCGAAGGC